rnacentral:rRNA from 1 species
CUCGUAGGCGGCCAACUAAGUCAGACGUGAAAUCCCUCUGCUUAACCGGGGAACUGCGUCUGAUACUGGAUGGCUUGAGGUUGGGAGAGGGAUGCGGAAUUCCAGGUGUAGCGGUGAAAUGCGUAGAUAUCUGGAGGAACACCGGUGGCGAAGGCGGCAUCCUGGACCAAUUCUGACGCUGAGGAGCGAAAGCCAGGGGAGCAAACG